rnacentral:rRNA from 1 species
UACGUAGGGGGCAAGCGUUGUCCGGAAUCAUUGGGCGUAAAGAGCGUGUAGGCGGCUCGGUAAGUCCGCUGUGAAAGUCCAGGGCUCAACCCUGGAAUGCCGGUGGAAACUGUCGGGCUAGAGUCCGGAAGAGGCGAGUGGAAUUCCUGGUGUAGCGGUGAAAUGCGCAGAUAUCAGGAGGAACACCAGUGGCGAAGGCAGCUCGCUGGGACGGUACUGACGCUGAGACGCGAAAGCGUGGGGAGCAAACAGG